GAAAUCGCCCAAAAAGCCACGGCCACCGAGCACCACGGUCACCAACGGGACCCCCACGGGACAGCCGGACACCGAACGGGGGCUCAGCAGCUGCCUCCUGGCCCUAUAACGCGGAGCUGACCCCAAAGAGCAGGAUUUGACCCAGGGGAUCAAAGGAGCCCAUCCCGCACCCUGCCAUUUCGGCACCAGCUCCCCUCUCGCUGGAAAAGCGCUCGCAGGAGUUUAAAAAUAAAAACCCCUUUUCCGCAGCGAUUUGGGAUCUUCCUCAAAAUAGAAGAAAAAAAAAUAAAAAUAAAAAUAAAAAGGGGACCAGAAAUUGGAACCGAAGUGCUCCUUGCCCCUGUGUCACUGUUCCGUAUCGCAUGCUCCUUGCUGCCUUUUUUUUUCCCUGCCGUUGUUUAAAGCCUCCGAGCGGUGGCACCGAUGCUCCCAGCGGCUCUCCCGACGUCCCAGACGAGCUCCCAGAAGAUUUUUUUAAGCCUGUGAUCCCAGGGCUGGGGCAGCUGGGCUUGAAAUUGCGAGCGAAAGCGACGCGGCGAGGGCGGAUGGAGGCGUGCUGGGGCGGCCACCUCCGCUCCCCGCGCCCCGCGAGGAAAUGUUGGAGGAACGGGAGGAAAAGGAAGCGUUCAGCCUAAAAACCAAAUAUCUUAAGGAAAAAAGAGCAAGAACAAGGCCGUCCGAAUGCACAGGGGCUGAGACGAGGACGUUGGAGACGAGGAUGUUGGAGAUGAAGAUGUUCAAGAUGAGGAUGUUGGAGACGAGGACGUUGGAGACGAGGACGUUGGAGAUGAGGACGUUCUCCACGAGAGGUGGCGCAGACUUUUGGGACCUCACCUCUCCCAUGGUGCUGGGAUGAAGCAGAGCCCCAAGCAGCUCUCCCCCCACUGCUCACCACGACCCCAAAGUCACCACCAGGUCCCUGGGAGAGUUCCUGGGGUGCCCAAGCCGAAGCCGAGCGGCGCUCGCAGGAUGGAUCGGCUCCGGUGCCGCCCCUGGGCGCAGUUUGGGCUCUGCCCGCUGGCACGGGACGACUCCAAGGCUCUUUGGGAUUUAGGGA
rnacentral:lncRNA from 1 species